UUACCAAUAAUUCAAGGGAUGGAAGAACCAAAUUUUCCACCCACAAAAACAAUAUUUGUACUUUCUUUUUCAGUAGAGGGAUUGAGAGAGUGAGAUUCGAACCUGAAUUUAUCAGAUGAGUUAUAUAUCUUUAAAUGCUAAAUUUUUUAUUAUAUAUAGAGAAGGAAGGAGCAAGUAGAAGAUGGAAUCACUUUAAGAAAAGUAAUAGUGCUUGACAAGUGUUAAUUUUUAUUUAUUUAUUUUUUAUACUCAAAACUCGAAAUUUCAUUGCUUGGAGCUAUAAAGCUAACACCAAAUUG
rnacentral:misc_RNA from 1 species